GUCACUGGUUUAGGAACUUGUGAGGUAUGACUCAAAUCAUAUUUGUUGCAUAUUCUUGAUCAGGGUUCAAGCUGUCCAAACAGCCUCUCACAGAAAUGUAAGAUAAACUGCAUGCAGUCCGGCCUUUAACUUUCUGCACUAUGCUGCCCUUUUAUGCUAAGGAAACAAUAGAAACAGUAAGACAACAAGAUAAACUUAACAUUUCAGGGUGUGAAAUCCAAACUUCGGCUGAUGGUGUUGUGUUGGUGAAACCAAAUUCCAGAGUCUCUUUCCUUUUGUUAGUGGCAUCAGUUUUAUGACAGUACUGUUUCAUGUUUUGUAUAAAUUCUCACUGUGCUUCUGUGUUGCACCAGUAUACAAUGGGAAGAGGCAUAG
rnacentral:misc_RNA from 1 species